GAUGAACGCUGGCGGCGUGCCUAAUACAUGCCAGUCGAGCGAACAGACGAGGAGCUUGCUCCUCUGACGUUAGCGGCGGACGGGUGAGUAACACGUGGAUAACCUACCUAUAAGACUGGGAUAACUUCGGGAAACCGGAGCUAAUACCGGAUAAUAUAUUGAACCGCAUGGUUCAAUAGUGAAAGACGGUUUUGCUGUCACUUAUAGAUGGCUCCGCGCCGCAUUAGCUAGUUGGUAAGGUAACGGCUUACCAAGGCAACGAUGCGUAGCCGACCUGAGAGGGUGAUCGGCCACACUGGAACUGAGACGCGGUCCAGACUCCUACGGGAGGCAGCAGUAGGGAAUCUUCCGCAAUGGGCGAAAGCCUGACGGAGCAACGCCGCGUGAGUGAUGAAGGUCUUCGGAUCGUAAAACUCUGUUAUUAGGGAAGAACAAAUGUGUAAGUAACUAUGCACGUCUUGACGGUACCUAAUCAGAAAGCAACGGCUAACUACGUG
rnacentral:rRNA from 1 species